rnacentral:rRNA from 1 species
CAGCCGCCGCGGUAAUACGUAGGUGGCAAGCGUUGUCCGGAAUUAUUGGGCGUAAAGCGCGCGCAGGCGGAUAGGUCAGUCUGUCUUAAAAGUUCGGGGCUUAACCCCGUGAUGGGAUGGAAACUGCCAAUCUAGAGUAUCGGAGAGGAAAGUGGAAUUCCUAGUGUAGCGAUGAAAUGCGUAGAUAUUAGGAAGAACACCAGUGGCGAAGGCGACUUUCUGGACGAAAACUGACGCUGAGGCGCGAAAGCCAGGGGAGCGAACGGGAUUAGAUACCCGAGUAGUCCCUGUCUCUUAUACA